GGCGCCCCGCGCGUCGCGCCGCCGCGCUCCCCAGGCUGAGGUCACCGGCGUCCGCGGCUCCGGCACGGCCGGGCGGCUGAUUGCGCUCUGCUUGGUCUGGCUGUGGCGCGCGUCCAGCUGCCUCUGCCCGUCCAGCUCUCUCUGCCCGCCCACCGCCGCCUGUGCCGCGCUCUCCCGCGGGUUCGCCUGCACGCGCGCGCCCGCCGCCCAGCGCGCACGGCCCGCCUCCCCCCGCCCCGCGGGGCGGGGCCUGGGCUUCCGGGGCGGGUCAUAGGGCGGAGGUCUUGCUCCGGGGCGUGGUCUGAGCUGGUUGUGGGCGUGGCCUAACGUCGGGAGCGGGAUCUCUCUCCCAGGGUGGGGUCCGGUUCCUGCCGCAAGACCAGGUUUUCGAGGGCGGGGCCUCGCUCGGAAGAGCGGGUCUGAAUUCUGGUGAAAGGUCUGGGUUCUACGCUUUGCUGCGUGCUCAGGUCUGCCAUCGAUGCUCCUGGACCUAAGCGAGCCUCCUGCCUCAGCCUCCUGAACAGCAGAGCCUACGAGCAUGUGUCACUGUGCCUGGCAUAUUCGGAGACCUUCGGCGCGUCUUUAAUCUGUGCCCAUCACAUCCUUGAACCUGUGCCACCCAAGGCCCGGGAGUCACCUGUGUUCAGGCCAGCAGGUUGGACGAGUACAUUGUCAUGCAUUUCCUCCUGUCUUUGCGCACAGCUUUGCCUAUUGAAAUACACAUUAUUUUGUUACAA